GACUUCCUCACUAAUUACAUUUAAAUUGCACACAGUAAGAAAUCAGAUGUCCCCCUAGGACACUGGAGAAAGCCUGAGCUCUUAAUCUUCAAAGAAAAAACACCAAAAGAAAAAUGAUGUUCAAGCUAUCACUCAUCAGCCUGUUCCUCCUAUUUGUUGAUAACACUUCGGGGACAAGUCCACCACCGCUGACCUCAAGUUCUAUGGCAGUCUCGGAUGCCAAGACGAGCUUGAGUUCUCAGACAAACCCACAUUCCAAGACAACCUGGAAUCCUAAGACAACUAAGAAAACAGCAGUGACCUCAAAGAUAGCAGUGACCGCAAAGAUAGCAGUGACCUCAAAGAUAAUGACCUCAAAGAAUACAGCGACUCUGAAUAUAAUGGCUGAGACAAGUGGUGGCACCACUCUGAAUCCAAUGGACAACAUUCACUUUCUUUUCUAUGUAAUAUUUUUGCUGUUUUGUGUGCAAUCAGGCUGAAGUGGACUUGAACUGUUUACAUUCCUAUCUCAGUUCUUUAUCAUCUGCUGAAUGACAACAAGCACACUAGGAAAAUCAAAUUUAUUUCAACUUAUUUCCCAGGAAGGUAUCAUUAGUCUAGCUUAAUUUGGUUGUUUGCAAAUUUUAAUUGUGUAAGCCUAAUUAUUACCUUAAUAUGGUUUCCUUCCUUAUAGAUGCUAAAAAAAAAAGCAAAAUACCAAUGUGUGCAAAACUGAAUUGAAAAUCAGAUUUUUACAUUAAAGUUGUAAGAGAAGAAA